rnacentral:lncRNA from 1 species
CCUGGCAUAUGGAGGUUCCCAGGCUAGGGGGGUCUAAUUGGAGCUACAGCUGCUGGCCUACACCACAGCCAUAGCAAUGCCAGACCCAAAACACGUCUGCAACCUACAGCACAGCUCAUGGCAAUGCUGGAUCCUUAACCCACUGAGCGAGGCCAGGGAUUGAACCCUCAAUCUCAUGGUUCCUAAUCGGAUUCGUUUCCACUGAGCCAGGAUGGGAACUCCUAACAAGUAACUUUUUGAGCUGGGAAAGAAAAAUGAAUUUAAAUGAUCUUCAAAUACUUGAAAGGAUAGUCUUUCAGAGGUCCAAAGUAGAAUCAGUAUAAGUUAGUAGAGUGACUCAUUCAAAAUGAAAGGAAACUUCUAAUACAUGGAGCUGUCUUAAAUGAAAUGGGCUGCUUUUCUAAGUAAUACAUUCAAAUUAUUAGUAGGAAGUACUGAUAUAUACUAUAACAUGUAUGAACCUUGAAAGCAUUCUGCAAAGUCAAAGAAGCCAAUCACAAAAGGUACAUAUGAUAUGGUUCCGUUUAUAUGAAACGUCCAGAACAGGGAAAAUCCAUAGAAACAGAAAGCUGAUUGGUGGGAAAGAGGGGAAUUGAGAGUGGCUACUAACAUAUACAAGUUUCUUUGGAGGUAACGGAGUUUUUCUGGAAUUAAACAGCAAUAAUGGCCACAUAGCAUUGUGAAUUAUUUUCAUAAUCACUUUACAAUGACUGAAAUGAUAAAUUUUAUGUUCCAUGAAUUUUUGUUUUGUUUUGCUUUGGUUUGUUUUGCUUUUUAGGGCUGCACCUGCAGCAUAUGGAAGUUCCCAGGCUAGGAGUCGAACUGGAGCUGCAGCUGCUGGCCACAGCCACACAGGAUCCAAGCCACGUCUGCAACCUACACCAGAGCUCACAGCAAUGCCGGAUCCUUAACCCACUGAAUGAGGCCAGGGAAUGAACACAUGUUCUCAUGGGUACCAGUCUGGUUCAUAACCUGAUGAGUCAUGAUGGGAACUCCUGUUUCGUGAAUUUUACCUCAAUUAAAAAAGAAAAAGGUAGAGAGAACCAAAUGAGGUAAUCUUUAUUAACUGCUUUAAGAUAUUAUGAUGCACAAAGUGGUAAGUGUUUACUAUUACCAACUCCAUUUGAUGAUAAAGAAAUGAGACACGGGGGGGGGGGGUAAGGAUUUUUGUUUUUGUCAAAACAAAAACAAAGGCUAUCAUGAGGUAAAGCCAGGACAGACAGGUCCUCAAUCCUGCCUGGCUCUAAAGCUUUUAGAAUUGGAAUAAAGAUUCAGAGGUAGUGACAGAAAGCUGUAGAAAACACUGGGACCGACUGACUGAGCUACAUACCCAUAAUAAGCAGACCACUAGGAGGCCUAUGCCUGUCAACCAUGGAACCUAUCUUUCCAAGCACAGAUUUACAGGCCAAAUUGAAGAAAGCAGUGUCCUCAAAUUCUGUUCUUAAGACUAUUCUGGAAAAGAGUUGAGACAAAAUUCUCUGCCUUUGGGCACUUACCCCUAAAAUUUCCUAGCCAUUCAUGUGACCAGUAUCAAACUUAGGACAUUCUGGAUGCCAAGGACCAUGUUCAAUACACAUGGACCUCCUUAAAACCUCCACAUCUCAGAGGCUUCUGGCUGAGAGGCAGGUUUGGAAGAAAUUAUCUCCAAGAAGGCAAAUUUCACUGUCAAAGGCUCAAUACCUUUGGCUUACCUAGUUGGAUCCUUUCUCCUCAGUGCCCUCGUAAUCCUAAUAACUUACUCAGGGGCAGAGGAAAAAUCCAGUUAGUUCCCCGAUGACUUCAAGCAACAGGAAGGCUCACUCAUUUGUCAGAGCCCCCAGCUACCCAAACCAAGAGGUUAAACUUUCUUAGGAAAAGUACACUAAUACUUACUAAGUAUAGGACACAGAACUAACUGGUUGGCCUUACAUGUAUUAGAACUCCUUCUGUUUGUGACUAUAAGGUGUACGUUAUCACAAUCUUCCUUCCCCGAUGUGGAGAUAAGUG